CAGUAGCCGCGGUAAUACCGAGGGUGCGAGCGUUAAUCGGAUUUACUGGGCGUAAAGCGUGCGUAGGCGGCUUCUUAAGUCGGAUGUGAAAUCCCUGAGCUUAACUUAGGAAUUGCAUUCGAUACUGGGAAGCUAGAGUAUGGGAGAGGAUGGUAGAAUUCCAGGUGUAGCGGUGAAAUGCGUAGAGAUCUGGAGGAAUACCGAUGGCGAAGGCAGCCAUCUGGCCUAAUACUGACGCUGAGGUACGAAAGCAUGGGGAGCAAACAGGAUUAGAUACCCGAGUAGUCCCUGUCUCUUAUAC
rnacentral:rRNA from 1 species